rnacentral:tRNA from 1 species
GCAGUGGCGGUUCAGUGGUAGAGUUCUCACCUUCCAUGAGGGAGACCCAGGUUCGAUUCCUGGCCAAAGCA